rnacentral:lncRNA from 1 species
GUAUGCUUUACCCAAAUAUUUAAUUAUGUUAUUAUGUCUUGUCUUAUAAGGGGGUUUUAAUGAAAGUUCGGGGUUUCUAUGUACUGUUUAAGUGUUUACAGAACCGAUUAAUCUCCGGUGAGGACGUUGGUCAGCCUGAAAGUAUAGGUCGUUAAGCUUAGAGAGAAGCGUGUUAGACCUUGUUUGGUGGUCCCGUCACUGAGAAAACACUUAGCAGCCCUUAGAGUAAUGCCAUUAAAACUU